CGCAACUCGUUUGACACGUUUUUAUAUCCGAUAUUUUCUCAGUUUUACAGCCUUCUAGCGUAUUUGGACACGCAUAGCAUGCUGCAAGCAAUGUGAUAGAGAUGUGACGAGACACCAAUCAGAAGGACAAUUUACCAGAAAUUGUCAGUUAAACAAAUUAUAUACCAGAAGGACAAUUCUUCUUUACCUUUUUUGCAUACGUCUUUGGCAAAGCAAUGCAGUAGAUAAUUACCGUGGACUGUUCGAUGAAGAAAGAAACUCGAUGAGUAAGCGGUUUGCUUUAUAAGCAAACGUCUAGAUUUGUGAUUGGUC